GAGUUUGCUGGCUCCGUCUCCAGUUCCUUUUGUCUCUUCCCACAUCCCCUCACUCAAGGUCUCUGGGAGCCUGGGCCUUCAGAGACAGCCCUCAGAUCACCUGAGUCGCCCAAGGAUGGAGACCUCCCCCCCAUUUUCCAGAACAAUAAGGUUAGAUGCAGAAAGGCCUGGCCAUUCCCAGCCACCACCCCCCGACUCCUCCCCAGGUGUGGGUGCUGAGAGGUGGAGCCACAGCCAGGCCUCUCCCCAUUGGGCGGGCUCCACAGGUAACCUGAAGCUGUGCUGCCAGGUGCAUAAAUAAAGUGUGGGGCUAUGGUACCACCUCCUUGAAAGGGGCCGAGUCCUUCCUCAGCCUCGCCUUGGAAAAACCAGCUUCUCUCCCUUUCAUUGUCUGUUCCCAGCUCCUGUGCUGCAAGCUCAUCUGAGCCCCCCACACUCCAAACUCUCUCUUUCCGGGUCCUUGAACUCCCCUCUCUGCCAAUCCACUUUCCUCUGCCUUCGUACUCUUCACCAUUAAGGGAGAGGGGCUGUCCGGGACCAGCCCCCACCGCCCCGCAGGACCCACUUCUGUUCUGCACGGGCCUGCUCAGCUGAACUCCCUCUACGGCAAGGGCUUCUUGUUUCUUACUCGCUGUCCUCCAAUCUUCGGAAGGCAAGAGCAGUCCAAGGCUUGGAAUUCCUUUCCUUCUCUCGCAUGCACGAGUCUCCAGCCACCUCUUUGUUCUGAAUUCUCUCAUGAAAGUUCUUUCGAAACAAGCUCAAAGAAGGCCCUGCCCUCUGAUGGUACAGACCCUGAUACCUCCAGACACGGUCGUCGCUGGAGUGUCCGCCCCGGAGGUUAAGGACCCCAGAGGUGGGUGAGGCUCUCUGCACGUGCCCGUUGAGGAUUUGAAGAAUCUGGUGGACUGUACCCAUUGGGAGGAUCUAUGGCCUCCCAUCAUCUCCUGGCAUCGCUUAUCAGCGCCAAACAGGUUGGGGAAGGAUGUGGGGCCACUAGAAAGUGGCCACCCGAGGUGGAUCCCUAGGAGCAACACCAAGGAGGCUUACCCUCCUCUGCCUACCCGGGGCCCAAAGAGCACGCCUGCCUCCGGCCAGGUGUUCUUCCCCCCAGUUCACGCCCGCACACGGGCCGGCCGCGCAAAGCGCUGCUCAGGCUCUUUGGAGGGUGCGGGCUGGAGAGGAACUGCUCCGCCCCGCCUUCCAGGGCCCUGGUUCGAAGGCGCGGGAGACGCAUUUUCCCAAAGCGGAAAUCUCAGAACACCUGCCUCCCCAGCACGGGGGGAAGAUGCCCAGCAGCCCAGCUGGGUAAAGGCAGAGACGUUUCCACGCGGAUGUGGGUGGGAUGGUCCCUCAAGGGUGAGAAACAGCAGAGGUCCCAGCCGGGCAGCGCCGGCCCACCCCGCGGCCCCGUCUGUGCCGCAGACACAGGGAGGUUCCGGCGAGCUGGCUCUGGGCAGCUCCGGAGGGAAGUGGUCUCCGCCAGAGGGUGUGAGGACUCGGAUCUUCCCCAUUCCCCGCGACCGUGACUCCGAUCGUGGAGGCUUUCGGCCAGGCAACCAACGACCUGGUGUACCGAGGCCAGGGUUGCCCCGUGGCCCAGACUCAGCACAAGACCUCGGAACAGUCCACGUGUUUCUCUUGUCCUUCAUUCCACCGGAGUCUGUCUCAUACCCAACCAGAUUUCAGUGGAGUGAAGCUCAGGAGGCGUGGAGCUGACACCGCAGCAGAAGCGGCGACAAGAAGAGCUCUGUGAUGCAUGCGGUCGCCCGCCGACUCCCGGGCCUUCGACGUCACCGCCCCUUUGGGUUACAAUGGAGACCUGAGCUCAACGACUGGCUCGGGUUCCCUCCCUACGUGGGUCCUCCAGGCAGGUGGCUGGAACUCUAUUCCCAAUCAGCAAGGAACCCUCUGCCCUGCCCCCCCCAGAGGACCCGCAGGACCUGCACAAGGGGGUUAAAAAACGACGAGGAUUUAAAAGAGCAUUUAUAUCGUAAUAAAAUAAAUGUAAAUAUGAUGGACGUGAAGGCA
rnacentral:lncRNA from 1 species